UUAUUGGCUUUUGAUUGUAAUCCAGUCAACUCUCAACUCUUGUGGCUAUCAGGAAGAAGCCUUCAUCUCUUCUAAAGCAGUGACAUGUACAAGACACACAAAUAUGAAAAGAACCACAGAACCGCAGAUUUAAGAAUCUUAUUAAAUUACUAGAGGGUGUGUGGACUCUCGGGACAAGAUUAUGACUGAACUAGACAGAAGUGAAUGUCACGCAGAGAUCCUGGACUUGGAGCUGGGUGCAGGAACUGAUGAGACUUUGGGUCUUCCCUUUUGGAGAGGAAGUACUAAAUGGAUGUCUGACAGAUGCAUGCAUACAUGAUGAAUUAGCAAGACCAAAGAGAUGGAUUUGUUUCCUGGACUGCAGCCUAUGAUGCAGUAAUGAAAGCAUCAGGACCUUGCAGGGCGAGAGGUACAGGCAUCAACCAGGUGAGGAAUCUAAGAGAGACCAUCUCCAAAACAAGCUGGGACCCCAAAAGGCCACCCUGUCACGUUAACGACUUCUUCGCAGGCAGCACACGUUUUGCCUGGUGCCUUCACAGUUCUUCAAGUGUGUCUUCUCCUUGCUGUCAAACCACCACCACAGCACAAACCAGGAUCUUCCAGGGAGAUGCAGGGAGAUGUGGGAGUGUCUCCAGCUUCCAGAACCCACAGCAGAACACAGAACAGGUGCCCCAGGACCAGCUGGAAGGUGAAGCGUGGCAGGCAGCAGGCCCUCCACGACUGGUCGGGCUCUCUCAGCUCUGCCUCCGAGUGCCAGUGUCCGCUGGGCCGCAACUGACCACUCAGAACCCUACAGAGU